GUAGGUGGCAAGCGUUGUCCGGAAUUAUUGGGCGUAAAGCGCGCGCAGGCGGUUCUUUAAGUCUGAUGUGAAAGCCCACGGCUCAACCGUGGAGGGUCAUUGGAAACUGGAGAACUUUAGUACAGAAGAGGAAAGCGGAAUUCCACGUGUAGCGGUGAAAUGCGUAGAGAUGUGGAGGAACACCAGUGGCGAAGGCGGCUUUCUGGUCUGUAACUGACGCUGAGGCGCGAAAGCGUGGGGAGCAAACAGGGAUUAGAUACCCUGGUAGUCCACGCCGUAAACGAUGAGUGCUAAGUGUUAGGGGGGUUUCCGCCCCCUUAGUGCUGCAGCUAACGCAUUAAGCACUCCGCCUGGGGAGUACGGCCGCAAGGCUG
rnacentral:rRNA from 1 species